GCAGUCGAACGAUGAAGGGGAGCUUGCUUCCUGGAUUAGUGGCGAACGGGUGAGUAACACGUGAGUAACCUGCCCUUGACUCUGGGAUAAGCGUUGGAAACGACGUCUAAUACCGGAUAUGACCUGUGACGGCAUCGUCUGCAGGUGGAAAGAAUUUUGGUCAAGGAUGGACUCGCGGCCUAUCAGGUAGUUGGUGAGGUAACGGCUCACCAAGCCGACGACGGGUAGCCGGCCUGAGAGGGUGACCGGCCACACUGGGACUGAGACACGGCCCAGACUCCUACGGGAGGCAGCAGUGGGGAAUAUUGCACAAUGGGCGAAAGCCUGAUGCAGCAACGCCGCGUGAGGGACGACGGCCUUCGGGUUGUAAACCUCUUUUAGUUGGGAAGAAGGGAGCUUGCUCUUGACGGUACCAGCAGAAAAAGCACCGGCUAACUACGUGCCAGCAGCCGCGGUAAUACGUAGGGUGCAAGCGUUGUCCGGAAUUAUUGGGCGUAAAGAGCUCGUAGGCGGUUUGUCGCGUCUGCUGUGAAAUCUGGGGGCUCAACCCCCAGCCUGCAGUGGGUACGGGCAGACUAGAGUGCGGUAGGGGAGAUUGGAAUUCCUGGUGUAGCGGUGGAAUGCGCAGAUAUCAGGAGGAACACCGAUGGCGAAGGCAGAUCUCUGGGCCGUUACUGACGCUGAGGAGCGAAAGCAUGGGGAGCGAACAGGAUUAGAUACCCUGGUAGUCCAUGCCGUAAACGUUGGGAACUAGAUGUAGGGGCCAUUCCACGGUUUCUGUGUCGCAGCUAACGCAUUAAGUUCCCCGCCUGGGGAGUACGGCCGCAAGGCUAAAACUCAAAGGAAUUGACGGGGGCCCGCACAAGCGGCGGAGCAUGCGGAUUAAUUCGAUGCAACGCGAAGAACCUUACCAAGGCUUGACAUAUACCGGAAACGUCCAGAGAUGGUCGCCCCGCAAGGUCGGUAUACAGGUGGUGCAUGGUUGUCGUCAGCUCGUGUCGUGAGAUGUUGGGUUAAGUCCCGCAACGAGCGCAACCCUCGU
rnacentral:rRNA from 1 species